GACGAACGCUGGCGGCGUGCUUAACACAUGCAAGUCGAACGGAAAGGCCCUGCUUUUGUGGGGUGCUCGAGUGGCGAACGGGUGAGUAACACGUGAGUAACCUGCCCUUGACUUUGGGAUAACUUCAGGAAACUGGGGCUAAUACCGGAUAGGAGCUCCUGCUGCAUGGUGGGGGUUGGAAAGUUUCGGCGGUUGGGGAUGGACUCGCGGCUUAUCAGCUUGUUGGUGGGGUAGUGGCUUACCAAGGCUUUGACGGGUAGCCGGCCUGAGAGGGUGACCGGCCACAUUGGGACGGAGAUACGGCCCAGACUCAUCCGGGAGGCAGCAGUGGGGAAUAUUGCACAAUGGGCGGAAGCCUGAUGCAGCAACGCCGCGUGCGGGAUGACGGCAUUCGGGUUGUAAACCGCUUUCGCCUGUGACGAAGCGUGAGUGACGGUAAUGGGUAAAGAAGCACCGGCUAACUACGUG
rnacentral:rRNA from 1 species